rnacentral:lncRNA from 1 species
UGUAAAAUUUGGUUUUGUGGAUUUCUUUUUCUAUUUUUAAAGAAAAAAAUAACACGCUACCAACUUCAUUCAUUAAAUAAGUGAAUUAAGUUACAUAAAGUGAAACAGCCGAGAUCUUAGAAAAUAAAAAGUCAAAAGAAAAAAGAGCAAGAAAGAAGAACCUAAUACAAAAUAAGAACAAACAACAAAAACGAAUAGUUUGCCAAACACCAACCUCACACAACUCUACAAAAAUCGGCCCACUCCUUCACCAGUAGUCCAAUACGGUGAGCAGGAGGGGUAGCGUCUAUUGAUAGGUUCCGAAAGAUAACAUUAUUUCUUUCACUCCAAAUCGUCCACCAUGUGGCUGCCACAAGAAUCUGGACUUUCGCAGUGUCACC